rnacentral:tRNA from 1 species
GGGUCGGUAGCUCAGCGGCAGAGCAGACGUCUGUUAAGCGUCCUCGCGCGGGUUCGAGUCCCGCCCGUCCCU